rnacentral:rRNA from 1 species
UAGGGAAUCUUCGGCAAUGGACGAAAGUCUGACCGAGCAACGCCGCGUGAGUGAAGAAGGUUUUCGGAUCGUAAAACUCUGUUGUUAGAGAAGAACAAGGACGUUAGUAACUGAACGUCCCCUGACGGUAUCUAACCAGAAAGCCACGGCUAACUACGUGCCAGCAGCCGCGGUAAUACGUAGGUGGCAAGCGUUGUCCGGAUUUAUUGGGCGUAAAGCGAGCGCAGGCGGUUUCUUAAGUCUGAUGUGAAAGCCCCCGGCUCAACCGGGGAGGGUCAUUGGAAACUGGGAGACUUGAGUGCAGAAGAGGAGAGUGGAAUUCCAUGUGUAGCGGUGAAAUGCCUAGAUAUAUGGAGGAACACCAGUGGCGAAGGCGGCUCUCUGGUCUGUAACUGACGCUGAGGCUCGAAAGCGUGGGGAGCAAACAGG